rnacentral:lncRNA from 1 species
GACAUUGGCACAUACACCAAGUUUGAGAGCAUCACGUGGGCAUGUGCCACUUGAAGGGGUUGGGUUAGGGUUAGGGUUUGGGUUUGGCCUUGGCUUUGGUUUUGGGGUUGGGUUUGGAGUAGGGUUGCAUGAAUAGGAACCACAAGCUGAAACAAGUGAAAAAAAGAGGAGGUUGAUUGUGAGGAAAAUAGCAAGGGAGGAACAAGUUUUGGAAGCCAUCUUAAUUAAAUUAUUCUUGUACUAGCUAAGUUGCUAUUAGAGCUUAAUUAAGAGAAGAAGAGUGGUU